GGAGGGGUGGCCGAGUGGUUUAAGGCAGCGGUCUUGAAAACCGCCAUCCCGCAAGGGAUCAAGGGUUCGAAUCCCUUCCCCUCCG
rnacentral:tRNA from 1 species